rnacentral:rRNA from 1 species
GACAGAGGGUGCAAACGUUGUCCGGAAUCAUUGGGCGUAAAGAGCGCGUAGGCGGUCCGGUAAGUCCGCUCUGAAAGUCCGGGGCUCAACCCCGGGAGGCGGGCGGAUACUGUCGGGCUAGAGUCCGGAAGAGGCGAGUGGAAUUCCUGGUGUAGCGGUGAAAUGCGCAGAUAUCAGGAGGAACACCAAUAGCGAAGGCAGCUCGCUGGGACGUUACUGACAUUGAGGCGCGAAAGCGUGGGGAGCGAACAGG